UUCCUACCAAUAACUAAUAAAUUAAAAGGCAUUCUUUUGAUAAUUAAAACUCCGGUGGUAUAAGAUGAGUGUGCGUCUGAUUAGCUAGUUGGUGGGGUAACGGCUCACCAAGGCAACGAUCAGUAGCUGGUCUGAGAGGAUGAUCAGCCACACGGGCACUGAGACACGGGCCCGACUCCUACGGGAGGCAGCAGUAGGGAAUAUCGGACAAUGGGCGCAAGCCUGAUCCAGCCAUCCCGCGUGAAGGAUUAAGGCCCUCUGGGUUGUAAACUUCUUUUCUUUGGGAAUAAAAACUCCGUUUCUACGGAGCUUGAAGGUACCAGAGGAAUAAGCACCGGCUAACUCCGUG
rnacentral:rRNA from 1 species